ACUCCGUCCUCCAAACAAAAAGGAACUGCCUUUCUUCUUCUUCUCAUUCCAAUCUUCAAUUAACUUGGUGCGUAGUUUUUCCUCUCUGCGGGCAUACUCAAGGGGAAUGUUUUUACCUUGAUAACUUUUAAGAACUGGACGAACGUCUUUAAUAUCCAUGAUAGCAAUAAACUCCAAAAGAGGAAUUAAUCCGACCAAUUCCUUAUCCUUAGGAUUUCCUGUCCAUGGAGCCAUGGCAAUUGCGUUAUCAGGCUGUUUGGACCAUGACUCGGGAUUCGUAUCGAUCAU